AGACCCGAAACCCGGUGAUCUAGCCAUGGGCAGGUUGAAGGUUGGGUAACACUAACUGGAGGACCGAACCGACUAAUGUUGAAAAAUUAGCGGAUGACCUGUGGCUGGGGGUGAAAGGCCAAUCAAACCGGGAGAUAGCUGGUUCUCCCCGAAAGCUAUUUAGGUAGCGCCUCGUGAAUUCAUCUCCGGGGGUAGAGCACUGUUUCGGCUAGGGGGCCAUCCCGGCUUACCAACCCGAUGCAAACUGCGAAUACCGGAGAAUGUUAUCACGGGAGACACACGGCGGGUGCUAACGUCCGUCGUGAAGAGGGAAACAACCCAGACCGCCAGCUAAGGUCCCAAAGUCAUGGUUAAGUGGGAAACGAUGUGGGAAGGCCCAGACAGCCAGGAUGUUGGCUUAGAAGCAGCCAUCAUUUAAAGAAAGCGUAAUAGCUCACUGGUCGAGUCGGCCUGCGCGGAAGAUGUAACGGGGCUAAACCAUGCACCGAAGCUGCGGCAGCGACACUCAGGUGUUGUUGGGUAGGGGAGCGUUCUGUAAGCCUGUGAAGGUGGCCUGUGAGGGUUGCUGGAGGUAUCAGAAGUGCGAAUGCUGACAUAAGUAACGAUAAAGCGGGUGAAAAGCCCGCUCGCCGGAAGACCAAGGGUUCCUGUCCAACGUUAAUCGGGGCAGGGUGAGUCGACCCCUAAGGCGAGGCCGAAAGGCGUAGUCGAUGGGAAACGGGUUAAUAUUCCCGUACUUGGUGUUACUGCGAAGGGGGGACGGAGAAGGCUAUGUUGGCCGGGCGACGGUUGUCCCGGUUUAAGCGUGUAGGUGUGUGUUCCAGGUAAAUCCGGUUCACUUUAACACUGAGGCGUGAUGACGAGGCGCUACGGUGCUGAAGCAACAAAUGCCCUGCUUCCAGGAAAAGCCUCUAAGCAUCAGGUAACAUCAAAUCGUACCCCAAACCGACACAGGUGGUCAGGUAGAGAAUACCAAGGCGCUUGAGAGAACUCGGGUGAAGGAACUAGGCAAAAUGGUGCCGUAACU
rnacentral:rRNA from 1 species